AUUGAACGCUGGCGGCGGGCCUAACACAUGCAAGUCGAACGAGUAGCGGACGGGUGAGUAAUUUCUGGGAAACUGCGUGAUGGAGGGGGAUAACUACUGGAAACGGUAGCUAAUACCGCAUACCAUCAGAUCUGCCCAGAUGGGUUUAGGGUGUUGGUGGGGUAACGGCUCACCAAGGCGACGAUCCCUAGCUGGUCUGAGAGGAUGACCGGCCACACUGGAACUGAGACACGGUCCAGACUCCUACGGGAGGCAGCAGUGGGGAAUCUUGCACAAUGGGCGCAAGCCUGAUGCAGCCAUGCCGCGUGUAUGAAGAAGGCCUUCGGGUUGUAAAGUACUGUCAGCGGGGAGGCGGUACCCGCAGAAGAAGCACCGGCUAACUCCGUGCCAGCAGCCGCGGUAAUAC
rnacentral:rRNA from 1 species